AUGAACGCUAGCGACAGGCCUAACACAUGCAAGUCAGGGGCAGCACAAGGAGCAAUCUGAGGUGGCGACCGGCGCACGGGUGAGUAACACGUAUGCAACCUGCCUGUAAGCGGGGAAUAACCCGUUGAAAGACGGACUAAUACCGCAUAAUACUAAAUUACUGCAUGGUAAUUUAUUUAAACAUUUAUGGCUUACAGAUGGGCAUGCGCAUGAUUAGCUAGUUGGAGAGGUAACGGCUCCCCAAGGCAACGAUCAUUAGGGGUCCUGAGAGGAAGGUCCCCCACACUGGUACUGAGACACGGACCAGACUCCUACGGGAGGCAGCAGUGAGGAAUAUUGGUCAAUGGACGAGAGCCUGAACCAGCCAAGUCGCGUGCAGGAAGAAUGUCCCCUAUGGAUUGUAAACUGCUUUUGCAGGGGAAUAAAGUGCAUCACGUGUGAUGUUUUGUAUGUACUCUGCGAAUAAGGAUCGGCUAACUCCGUGCCAGCAGCCGC
rnacentral:rRNA from 1 species